CUGUCACCCAAGCUGGAGUGCAGUGGCAAGAUCUCGGCUGAGUAGCUGGGAUUAUAGGUGCGCACCACUACACCCAGAUAAUUUUUUUGUAUUUUUAGUAGAGACGGGGUUUCACCUGUUGGCCAGGCUGGUCUCAAACUCCUGACCUCGAGUGAUCUGCUGGCCUUGGCCUCCCAAAGUGCUGGGAUUACAGGCGUGAGCCAUUGCGCCUGGCCUUUUUUUUCUGGAUUUCAAUGUGGAACAACAAUUUUUCUCUUUUUUUUUUUUUGUUGGAGAUGGAGUUUUGUUCUUGUUGGCCCAGGCUAGACUGCAGUGGCUGGAUCUCGGCUCAUUGCAACUUCCGCCUCCCGGAUUCAAAUGAUUCUCCUGCCUCAGCCUCCCUGGUAGCCAGGAUUACAGGCACCUGCCCCCAUGCCUGGCUAAUUUUUGUAUUUAUAGUAGAGACAGGAUUUCACCACGUCAGUCAGGCUGGUCUCCUACUCCUGACCUCAGGUGAUCUGCCUGCCUGGGCCUCCCAAAAUGCUGGGAUUACAGGCAUGAGCCACCUUGCCUAGCCUUUUUUUUUUUCUUUUUCUUUUUUUUUUUAAUGCAGAGCCUCUCAUCCAAACUAUUAUCCUUGUAGCUUCUUUUCAAAUACUCUUGAUUAUGUGAUGGUAGAAUAAUAAAAAUUGAAAUUGUUGUUAUUAUUGUUAUUACUUUUGACACGAAGUCUCGCUCUGUCGCCCAGGCUGGAGUGCAGUGGCAUGAUCUUGGCUCACUGCAAGCUCCGCCUCCCAGGUUCAAGCAAUUCUCUGCCUCAGCCUCCCAAGUAGCUGGGAUUACACGCACCCACCACCACGCCUAGCUAAUUUUUUUUUGUGCUUUUAGUAAAGAUGGGGUUUCACCAUCUUGGCCAGGCUGAUCUUGAACUCCAUCUCGUGAUCCACCCGCCUCGGCCUCCCAAUGUGCUGGAAUUACAGGCGUGAGCCACCACACCUGGCCAAAAACAAAAUUGAGAUUAUUAUGAAAUACAGUUUUAGGCUGAGCACAGUGGCUCACACCUGUAAUCUCAGCACUUUGGGAGGCUAAGGCAAGAGGAUCACUUGAGCCAAGGAGUUCAAGACCAGCCUGAACAACAUGGCAAGACCAAAAAAAUUAACAAAAUAGCUGGGCAUGGUGGCACACACCUGUAGUCCCAGCUACUUGGGAGGCUGAGGUGGGAGGAUCACUUGAGCCCCAGAGUUUGAUGCUGAGUGAUCAUGCCACUUCACUCCAGUCUGGGCUGCAGAGCAAGAGCCUGUCUCAAAAAAGAGAAGUUUGUCCCAGAAACCUUGUCAAUUUGAAGUAUUCCAGUGAUCCAGAUCACUCCUUGUCCCUAUGUUACACAGUGCCAACAGAUGAAAUGUAUUAGCUACACAGACAUGAUGGUCUAGUGGCUGGAUGACCAGUUAGCUGGAAUGUCUGGGAAGGUUGGGUUAGAUGCCCUCCUACGUGCUUUCCUUAAUGUCUACGACUAAAUCAUGAAGAAUUAUCCAGUACCAAUACUCUGAACUAAUCAAUUCAUUUUACCUAUUUUCCAUAAAUUCAUUGACUUUAGAGCUAUCUGGUAACUUGAGAAUAAGGUAGAAUAUGAAAUAAAAUUGUACUAAUUUAUAUCAAGUUGGAGUGCCUAGCAACAAUUCUGCCCCUCAAUUCAUUCGGGAAGACUAGGUUCUGAAAAUUACUCUGGUUAGUGUUGAAGACAGACUGAUACAUGUCAAAUUUCCUCUUUGACUCAUGGAACAAGAUUUCAGUUUUAUUUCAUCUGGCCUCCUUAGGAGAUCCUGCCCUGCCACCAGCCACUGCAAGAUAAAAAUAAGGAAGCAUUCAUUAUGGGUAUGAAACAACUGAAAAGUUUAGUUGGAGUGCAAUGACGUGAUCUCGGCUCACCGCAACCUUUGCCUCGUGGGUUCAAGCAAUUCUCUUGCCUCAGCCUCUCAAGUAGCUGCGAAUACAGCUGUACGCCACCACGCCUGGCUAAUUUUUGUAUUAUUAGUAGAGACGGGGGUUUCACCAUGUGGGCCAUGCUAGUCUCAAACUCCCGACAUCAGGUGACCCACCCACCUUGGCCUCCCAAAGUGCUGGGAUUACAGGCAUGAGCAACUGCGCCCAGCCUAGGCAAAUGAAUAAAAGAACAUCUUUUAUUUACCUGUAUCUGCGACAUUCCUCAUAGUAUGUUUGAAGGCCCAAAUGAUGGAAUC